rnacentral:rRNA from 1 species
UACGUAGGUGGCAAGCGUUGUCCGGAUUUACUGGGCGUAAAGCGUGCGCAGGCGGUUUUGCAAGCCGGAUGUGAAAUCCCCGGGCUUAACCUGGGAAUGGCAUUUGGGACUGCAAGGCUGGAGUGCGGCAGAGGAGACUGGAAUUCCUGGUGUAGCAGUGAAAUGCGUAGAUAUCAGGAGGAACACCGAUGGCGAAGGCAGGUCUCUGGGCUGACACUGACGCUCAUGCACGAAAGCGUGGGGAGCAAACAGG